CCUACGGGUGGCAGCAGUCGAGAAUCAUUCACAAUGGGCGAAAGCCUGAUGGUGUGACGCCGCGUGGAGGAUGAAGGUCUUCGGAUUGUAAACUCCUGUCAUGUGAGAGUAAAGCCGGGCGUUAACUGCGUGCCGGUUUGAGAGUAUCACAAGAGGAAGAGACGGCUAACUCUGUGCCAGCAGCCGCGGUAAUACAGAGGUCUCAAGCGUUGUUCGGAAUCACUGGGCGUAAAGGGUGCGUAGGCCGCACGGUAAGUCAGAGGUGAAAUCCCGGAGCUCAACUCCGGAAAUGCCUCCGAUACUGCCGUGCUUGAGGACUGGAGAGGAGUCUGGAAUUCACAGUGGAGCAGUGAAAUGCGUAGAUAUUGUGAGGAACACUAGUGGCGAAGGCGAGACUCUGGACAGUUCCUGACGCUGAGGCACGAAGGCCAGGGGAGCAAACGGGAUUAAAUACCCUAGUAGUC
rnacentral:misc_RNA from 1 species